rnacentral:rRNA from 1 species
UAGGGAAUCUUGCGCAAUGGGCGAAAGCCUGACGCAGCCAUGCCGCGUGAAUGAUGAAGGUCUUAGGAUUGUAAAAUUCUUUCACCGGGGAAGAUAAUGACGGUACCCGGAGAAGAAGCCCCGGCUAACUUCGUGCCAGCAGCCGCGGUAAUACGAAGGGGGCUAGCGUUGCUCGGAAUUACUGGGCGUAAAGGGCGCGUAGGCGGAUAUUUAAGUUGGGGGUGAAAGCCCGGGGCUCAACCUCGGAAUAGCCUUCAAUACUGGAUAUCUUGAGUUCGGGAGAGGUGAGUGGAAUGCCGAGUGUAGAGGUGAAAUUCGUAGAUAUUCGGCGGAACACCAGUGGCGAAGGCGACUCACUGGCCCGAUACUGACGCUGAGGCGCGAAAGCGUGGGGAGCAAACAGGAUUAGAUACCCUGGUAGUCCACGCCGUAAACGAUGAGUGCUAGUUGUCGGCAUGCAUGCAUGUCGGUGACGCAGCUAACGCAUUAAGCACUCCGCCUGGGGAGUACGGUCGCAAGAUUAAAAACUCAAAGG